UUGGCCUGAAAGUGACAAAAAAUGGUGGGAAACCAUCAAAACAUAGGUUGAAACCAUCAAUAAAUGGCUUGAAAGUGAUAAAAAAUGGUGGGAAACCAUCAAAAAGUAGGUCGAAACCAUGAAAAAAAUGGCCUAAAAGUGACAAAAAAUGGUGGGAAACCAUCAAAACAUAGGUUGAAACUGUGAAAAAAUGGCCUAAAAGUGACAAAAAAUGGUGGGGAAACCCAGUGGGAAUGGCUUGAAACCCUCAAAAAAUGGUGGGAAACCAACGGGAAGGUCUCGAAUCCAUGAAGAGAUGGUGGAAAACCAACGGAAAGGUCUUGAAACCCUCAAAAAGAAUGGUUUGAAACCUUUAAAAAGUGGUGGGAACCCAACAGAAAGGUCUUGAAACCAUCCAAAAGUGGUGGAAAACCAAUGGGAAUGGCUUGAAACCCUCAAAAAAAUGGUGGAAACCCAAUGGAAAGGUCUUGAAACCAUC